GCUUCUUUUCUUCUGCCUCUAAUCAAAUAGGAACUGAAAUGAAUUAGAAUUUUCUUAUGAAAAUAGCCUUUGUUGUCAGGCAGGCCAGUAAUUCAUAAACAAUAAGCAACGUCAUUGUGUGGCAAGUAAUAUAUUCAUGCUGUGGAAAGAAGGUAGUGCAGGACUAUGGCUCUGUGAAUGAGGGGAGGGAAGGAUUGGUCCAGGACUCUUCAUUUGCAGUCUGCACAGUGGGUGGUUCUGGUAACCACCAGUUUCUCUCUGUCUCUCUCUAUUUCACUCAUGCUCCUGACAUGGUCUCCUCAUUUUCCUCAAGCUCUUCCUUUAAUGAUGCUUUCUUUUUCAUCUGUCUUCUUCCAACAAUUCCUGGGUGAGUUCAACCUUAUUUGAAGGCCUCCGCUCUUCCCUUGUGUUUUGACCUGUCAGGUUUUUCAUUUGCUUUCACAUUCCCCUCCCCUCUUCUUUCCUCUGAGCAAAGCUAUAUAUUCUUGAGAACUUCGGGACGCCGUUGGAUUUUGCUCCCAAACUCGUCUGUCUUGGAAAAAGUAGUGGAUUAUCUGAUGUAGGACGGUGUGCGUAUGAAGGUAUGUGGUCUGAGGGCAAGUCGGAUCUUGAACUUCAGGACAGGAUUGUCACUCAACACAAGUGUCUUCUAGAUCAUUAAGGAUUAGCGUUACUCUUUUAGUGGACCUGGAGGUCUGUCAUGUUCGUUUUCCAACUUAAUAUGUGAACAUUUGCUGUCAUCGCUGGUUAGAGUUCAUCACUUUUUUUCUUGCUGUUCUACUUCGGAACUAACAAUGGAGAUAAAUGUCUAUGACAGAUUUAUCAAUCUAGCUUUUUCCAAAUAAUCAAGAACUUAAUAUUAAAAAAGAUAUCCUUUUGGCAUUAAGUUUUCAACUGCCAUGUUCGAAAACUAGAGGAGCUCCUGCAACUGGUGCUAUGAAGACUUGGGUCAUUUUCAUCAGUGGAUUUUUUAUAGCCUAUAAGAACUUGAAACCUGCUUGAUGACACUCAAAUAAAUCACCAGCUAUCAACAAUGGGCGUUGGCAUGGGAACACACCCCUGGCUGCUACCUGAAUGUGGACGCAGGGCCUUGGCAAACUGCACAUUUUCACCUACAGCCGUAUCCAUGACAACAAAGAACCGUGCCCACUAUCAGACUCUCUGCUAUUGAAUAUUUGAUUGACAGAUGUCCAAAUGUCAACCACUCCCUCUCAGUGAUUUUUAAUCAACCCAAUGUUUGCAUGAGGAUGGCCCAGGGGUCCUGACCAGAGAGGACGGGUUUUGGAAGGGUGGACCCUGGGGAGAUCAGCUUUAACUGCAGGAGGUCUGGAGAUGCUCAAGAUGAGGAUGUCCUAUUGGAGACGCCAUAAUUAAAAAGUUAAAUAUCUUGCAUUAAACCUCAUUAUUGAGAAUUACAUCAAAUCUAGAUUACUUCUAAAUUUUUAUGUGUGCUCAUCAGCGUUUCAUGUGUCCUCAUAUGUGUCCUGAAGCUCUUUUCGAUGGAUGGUGCGUCACACAACGGUGGACAUCAGCUCUUUUUCAAAAAGAAGGUUGCUGUUUUUCAUCUCAGUUUAUUUAAUCUGCGCUUUGCAAACAGACCUGCGGCCACUGCUCUCCAUCUCACUUUAUUGUGUUACAGCCUCAAUACACUCAGCCAAAUCAUGGUGUCCCUGCUUGGAGAAAAACACACACUGGCUGCCAUGGCCCCUUUGCCAUGUUCAACAGUGAAGUGAUGUUGUGCUGAUGCUUUUUGAGGGACAUUCAUUGAGCAAGAGG